GAACUCCAGAGCCGGCCUUGUUUGCCAUGCUGACGACGCAGAAUAAACGAGAGAUCAAACAUCCAGGGUUGGCUGCUGCCUCCGCCUUGGAGCAUCCGGUGACUUCCCUGGGGACGAUGCCCCUGCUCCCUCCGAAACGCCCACCCGUGGCUGGCCGAGCUCACAGAGCAGCGCGGGGAGAUCCGUUACAGAGCCCUCACGUCCACGUUCAUCAACCACCCGGGGCAGAAACGCUUUGUUCUGAACAACGAUGCUGCUUGCCUGCUGUGUCGUGUGGGGUCCCGCCUCUCACCCUCCUGUCCACAGUGUUUGCGCUGAGCCAUCCAGGCCCCGUAGGCCGUGGCUAGAAACAGGGCCACCUACCCCAGCCCAGGGCCGGACCUCCUCACCCGGGCUCCCUGUAGACGCCCGACAGCCAUAGGCAACCCAGUUGACACAGGUGAAGAGUCAGACGCAGGGCACCGCCGAAAAUGAUGUCACAACUGACGGUAAAUUGGAGAAGGGAGGACCAAGCCCCGCCUCGCACCCUAGUUCUCCGGCAGGUGACGGGUGGUCACCCAAGACAUCUCCUGCUUGGUUUCCACCUCCUUAGGGAUGCCGGUUGUACUGGGGAAAUAAACGUUCGAUUGAUUUUGUUGUCUCUAAA